CCACAGAGGCAUCACUCUCCAGCCCUGGCUUUUCCCUUUGCAACAUUCUGGGUUUUUAUUUGCUAGUCUUCUUACAUUUAUCUAAUCUUGUGUUUUGAGCCUCUCUCUAUUUGGAAUUCUUUUGUUUCCUCCCGGUUUCAACCUUGCGUCUCUCUUCCUCUUCGUUUCGCUCUUUCUCACCCCCCUCCCCCACCUCAAUCCUCAUCCCGUAAUCUAUCAGGUCAUAAGACUGGAAGCCAAGAGCAAGGGGCGCUACAGAAGCUACACAGAUGGGCAGAACGGAACAAUGUGCUCCUGAGUGGCCCGUGGGUCACUGAAGAAACCAUGGAGGACCUUAAAGGUUUCUAGAAUCAAAUGAAAAGGAAUGUGUAAGGGACAAGACCUGUUAGGAUUUGGGUAAGGCUGGUCUUAGAGUAGCAGUUCUCAACCUGUGGGUCUCGACCCCACUCAGGGGGUCACGAAUCAGAUACCCUGCACAUCAGAUAUGUACGUUACGACUCGUAACAGUAGCCAAAUGACAGUUAUGACGCAGCAACGAAACUAGUUUCACGGUUGCAGGUCGCCACAACAUGAGGACCUGUAUUAAGGGCCGCCAUGGCAUCAGGGAGGCUGAGAAUCCUUCCGCCAUUUUAGAGGGAAGUGUAUAGCUAUGGAUGCCAACGGAAAGAAAUCAGAGAGAUGUCGACCCCUGCUCUCUCUCAUCCUGGUUUUAUUAAUUUUAUUAAUUAUUGGCUUGAGGUUUCUCCAUCAUUAACCCUGAGCUUACCACGGUUCCAGUGGAAAUGCAAGAACUCACUGGCCAGCAGUUUGACAGCUUACGCUCUCUAAACGGGGAAGUCUAGAGGAAAUGAAUACAUUCUUAGACACACACGCCCUAGCAAAAUCAGAUCAAGAAGAUAUAAUGGGUCUGUAGUUGGUCGAGUCUGUGGAAAGGAGAAUAAUUGGUUCUUGAGGGUGUUCCCGCUUGAACCUUUUCCAUGAUUCAAUGGAUGCCUCGAGCUGAAGUGCGCAUGAACCUGUACUACAAGAUGGGGUGCUCUGUCACUGUGAUGGCUCCAAUGAGAAAUGUCCCCCACAGUCUCGGACAUUUGAACAUUCGGCUUCCAACCGAUGGCGCUGUUUUGGACGUUUCAGAGGCGUGUCCUUGUUGGAGGAAGUAGAGUGAAGGCGUCUUUGGACAAAACCUAGGAACUUUCAGAAUCAUGUAAAAGAUGGCGAACAAGAAAAACAAUCCUUUAUUAAACUGCUAAAGUCUUAACACAUCAGCAUCUUUACGAAAUGGCACCACCAGGUGGAGAGCUUAGAACAUUAAGCAUCAAUGUUAAACAGGUCGAAGACAUCAGAAGACAGCAGGCAGGCUUGUGUGUCCUACCGUGGACAUGGUAGGUGGGAUGAGUGAAGCUGGGUCUAACAUCUCAUCGUGUUUCUGGUCUUGACGUUCUUGGGUCCCUACAAGGAUCCGAGACCCAAGAGACAGAAACAGUAAAAGCACAAAGGAAGUCAGAUUAUACAUGCUGACAGUAACACAGCUGUCCUGCAAACAAGGACUUUAAACCUGGUAUAUCCCUUCUUAGGUGCAGCACUGAGAACUGACGGGGUCUGGAAUGGGUUGAUGUAAUUCAACAGUCAGCCUCUGUCUACUUAGGGGAAUGUUCCAGGUCUAACAACCCUGUUUUUUUGUUGUUUUGCAGGUGGUUUUCUGAGACAGGGUCUCAGUAUGUAACCCUGGCUGGCCUGGACCUUGCCAUGUAGAACAGGCUAGCCUCAAAGUCAUAAAGGUCUGUCUACCUUGGUCUCUGUGGUGCCACCUGGUCUAUGGCCCUGUUUUAUUCUCCUGUAGGUAGAGUAAAAUUCUGAAAACCAUUGCUAAUCUUCCUCCUUCAUUUUUUAUCAGGUCUUCUUGUUGAAGCGGUACAUAAUUGAUUAACUGCAUAAGAACCCUAACUUUACUAUGGAAACACUUAUCGAUUCUAAAGCUUCCAACACAGUGAAACCCAAAGUGUGGCCAGAACUCAGUGCUCUGCCCUGUUCUGGGAUCAUUUCCUUAUGUCUACCUCAAAACUCAAGUGAAAGCCAUGACCUUGUCAAUUUCUGCUUCUUCAAACAUUUCUUGACCACUGAGGAUAUGAUGGGGCACAGAGUAAUAGCUUAUAAGACUGUGUAACAGAGCCCUAGACAAUGAAGAGUGUAUAAUUCCACAUAUACCAAGCUAUAGAAUAAAUAAAAUUAACCUAUGCUGGAAAAGAA